AUUUGUCAUGACUGUAGAUUCUUGUUCGUUGUGUUCUUGUGUCUGGUUUUGUCUUGUGGUUUCUUGUAUUUGAUUUCCUUGUCUUUGUAUCUUGUCUUGUGUCUUGUUUUUCCCAUGCCCUCAUGUGUCCUUUAAGUUCUCCUGUGUUUUUUCCUAUCUUCCCUCUGGCUCCCUCUGUCUAUUGCUUUGUUCCCUUCAUGUUCUCAUGUGCUCCUCCCCUUCGUUACCUCACCUGUUGGUCCACCUCACCUGUUCCUCGUCUUGUCAUCAGUGUCUGUGUAUUUAGUCUCUGUGUUCCCCUCACUCCUUGUCUGGUCAUUGUAAUUGUCAGCCUCUGUCGCCUCCAUGUUCCUGUUCAUGUGCCUGCUCAUGUGCCUGCUCCUGUGCCUGCUCCUGUCUGUUCCUGUCUGUUCCUCGAUCCCCGAUCCCCGAUCCCCGAUCCCCAUGGGACCAUGUUGACAGGCAUCGAGGGACCACUCAUGCUCUCCUGUGACAUAAUGCAGAAGGCCAAUCCACAUGUCCUAAAGCACAACAAGAACAGGAACAUAAGAGUUUGAACUUAGAAAUGCAGGCCGGUCAAUUUCUCUGAGUUGGCUUUACUUUUACACUUAUUUAUUUAUAAUUUUUUUUUAAUUGUAGGAAGAUGUUUUGAAAUUUGUAAAAAGUAAUACAUUUUGCAUGGAGUGACCACUAAAAGCUGAAAAGAUAUAUGCUGUAAUUGGCCCAUACAUUUCAACACAAAGAUCAGUGCUAAGAUGUAACAGCCAAAAUCAGCUGUACACCUAGUAUGGAUGAGUGAAUAAUUGGAUUACUCACAAAGAAGUCAUCAUAGUUUUCAGCCAUCUUGCAGCAGUACCAGAAAUGAUUGCAGAUAUCCUUGUUCCACUGCAAAAGGAUGGAACAACCCCUUCGUUGUCCUGCCUAAAUAAAUACAUAAAUACAUUACUUUGGAGAAACAUAUAAGUGUCUGAUAGUUGGGAUGUCUUAAUUUCUAUAAACACACUUACUGCUUGUAUCUUCUUGCCCAGGUUUUUUGACCCAUCCACAUAUCUAGAGUGUGACACACUCCACUGUCCUUGCAUUUCCCCUUCGCUGGAUCUGUGUAAUCAAAGUAUAACAUGCAAUGUAAUUAGGUAUACUGUUCAUUAACCAAAUGUAAUCUCGAUAAGGGUCAAGCCAACAUUUACUAAUACAAGUAUUAAUUAUCAGUGUUGCCUGUAGGAGUGGUGGUGAAUGGAAAUUAUUGAAAAUGUUACUGUG
rnacentral:lncRNA from 1 species